UAGGGAAUCUUCGGCAAUGGGGGUAACCCUGACCGAGCAACGCCGCGUGAGUGAAGAAGGUUUUCGGAUCGUAAAGCUCUGUUGUAAGAGAAGAACGUGUGUGAGAGUGGAAAGUUCACACAGUGACGGUAAUUUACCAGAAAGGGACGGCUAACUACGUGGCAG
rnacentral:rRNA from 1 species